rnacentral:lncRNA from 1 species
UUCUUUCUCUUCUUUUCUCUCCUCUCUUUCUCAAUCUGGUCAUCUACGGUACUGCCUAAAUAUUUGGCACCUCAACUGUGGGAAUCACAGUCUUUAUAAUAGGCUCAGCAACCAUUGGCCUCUCGAAUAACUUUGUGACCAUCUGCUUUAUUUCCGCAAUCUCUACUCUAACAUCAGCAAUAUUAGGCUCCUGUACACUACCUGACUGCCGAGUAAUCCUUGACUCAAAUACAUCUAAGUGCUCUUGGAUGUGCCUAUCCUAUGUAUCCAACUG